rnacentral:lncRNA from 1 species
UUCACACCUAUAUAUCCUGUUCCAUAAAUGAACUGAUGAUUUCGUUACAAUCCCUAAUGGCCACCAUGGAUGUAGAAGCACUUUACACCAAUAUUCCACAUGAGGAUGGACUACAAGCUGUCAGGAACAGUAUCCCUGAUGAGGCCACAGCACACCAGGUGGCUGAAUCCUCACCCACAACCACUUCAGAUUUGGGGACAACUUAUACCUUCAAGUCAGUGGCACUGCUAUGGGUACCCGCAUGGCCCCACAGUAUGCCAACAUUUUUAUGGCUGACUUAGAACAACGCUUCCUCAGCUCUCGUCCCCUAGUGCCCCUCCUCUACUUGCUCUACAUUGAUGACAUCUUCAUCAAAUGGACCCACGGAAAGGAGGCCCUUGAAGAAUUCCAUCUGGACUUCAACAAUUUCCACCCCACCAUCAACCUCAGCCUGGACCAGUCCACACAAGAGAUCCACUUCCUGGACACUACAGUGCAAAUAAGUGAUGGUCACAUAAACACUACCCUAUACCAGAAACCUACGGACCGCUAUACGUACCUACAUGCCUCCAGCUUCCAUCCAAGACACAUCACACGAUCCAUUGUCUACAGCCAAGCCCUAAGAUACAAUCGAAUUUGCUCCAACCCCUCAGACAGAGACAAACACCUACAAGAUCUUUAUCAAGCAUUCUUAAAACUACAAUACCCACCUGGAGAAGUGAGGAAACAGACUGACAGAGCAAGACGGGUACCCAGAAAUCACCUACUACAGGACAGGCCCAACAAAGACAAUAACAGAACACCACUGGCCAUCACAUACAGCCCCCAGCUAAAACCUCUCCAGCGCAUUAUCCACGAUCUACAACCUAUCCUGGAAAAUGAUCCCUCACUCUCACAGACCUUGGGAGGCAAGCCAGUGCUCGCUUACAGACAACCCCCCAACCUGAAGCAAAUACUCACCAGCAACUACACACCACACCACAGAAACACCAACCCAGGAACCAAUCCCUGUAGCAAACCUCGUUGCCUACUCUGCCCCAUACCUACUCUGGCAACACCAUCAGAAGACCCAACCACAUCAGCCACACCAUCAAGGGCUCAUUCAACUGCACAUCCACUAAUGUUAUAUAUGCCAUCAUGUGCCAGCAA